rnacentral:rRNA from 1 species
CAAGCGGUGGAGCGUCUGGUUUAAUUCGACAGUAAGCGUGGUACCUCACCAGGGUUGACAUCCCUUGACAGCCUUGGAAACAAGGUUUCCUUCGGGCAAGGUGACAGGUGCUGCAUGGUCGUCGUCAGUUCGUGCCGUGAGGUGUUCCGUUAAGUCGGGAAACGAACGAAACCCCUAUUGCAUGUUACAAUUUCUCAUGCAAGACUGCCCGGAUAUACUGGGAGGAAGGUGGGGAUGACGUCAGAUCUGCAUGGUCCUUAUACCCUGGGCGACACAGGCGCUACAAUGGCAGAGACAAAGGGUUGCAAAACCGCAAGGUGAAGCUAAUCCCAAAAACUUUGUCUAAGUUCGGAUUGAAGGCUGCAAUUCGCCUUCAUGAAGCUGGAAUCGCUAGUAAUCGUGAAUCAGCCACGUCACGGUGAAUAUGUUCCCGGAUCUUGUACUCACCGCCCGUCACACCAAGAGAGUUGGUAGCUCCCGAAGCGUCCCGUUUUAGCGGGGCAUCACGGAGAGAUCAGCGAUAGGGGUGAAGUCGUAACAAGGUAACCAAGGGCGAA